CGUGGAACCUGAUGUUUUGAUUUUGGAAAAUAAUGUCAAAGAACAGCAGAUAAGUGGUCAGAGUCAGAGGUUGAGUGAGCAGAACAGGAGCUUUGGAGCCUGUCCACCUGAACCGUGAGCGAAGUUCGAUUGAUCUGAGCACCGGGCCAAUCUGGAAAGGUCGGAUACAGGCCAGAAUGUGGUGGCAGGGUCCAGGCCCAGAGUGUAUCGAAGCAACUGGGCCCAGGUCCUAGUGCAAGAAAUAACCCAACAUUUGGACAAUUUAAGUGCCGGGCCGAAUGUAUUGAAAAGGCAGUGUGUCGGAAGCGGAGGUGAAGCGUUCUUGCAGUAUCUCUGGACGGCCUGGUGUAUGAGUUGUUGGACGCUGAGGGUCCCGUCACCACAAGGCACGACGAUGGCUGUGCGACCGAAUUGCACCGUCACCUUCAUGCCGACAGCUUGCGACAGAACCGAGGGAAGCACAGGUGAACGACUGACUGCCGCCGCACCUGUAUACCUAGGCGCGAAGGGCGGCUCGCCAAGGAGAUUGGGCUCGGGCCAAACAACUCAGGAUGCUGGCAAUUCUUCUCUCAACUCCAGUUAAAGACUCCUCAUCCGCAGACAAUGGAAAUACAGGUGCAAGCAGGUUAGGUGAAACAAGUAUUUUUGUAACAGCGAUGAAAAUUAAUUGAAUAAAUUCAAAAUGUUUAAGCCCUCCCCUUUCUCGAGUUUCCGUUUAGACCGUGUAUGGAGAUGAUUGUACUGUGUAUGGGGGGGGGGGAAUCUAGUCAAGAUCGAAAUGAAACUUCCUGGGAGUCCAUAUAGGAUUUGAAUCGUUGUUAUGUUAUCUCUGUUACAGGUAUUGCUUCUCUGCCACCAUAUACAAUGCAGGUGCUUGGUAUAGGAAGUCUGUUGCCCAACUCCCUGGUCCACCCACACGGCCGGAAGGAGCCGACUUCCUCUCCCAGGUGAAACAAGGCGGGAGAGUGGGAAUAGGAUCCGGGCAGGAAGAUGGGGGAAAAGUUUCUCUGGCUGCCGUCAAAUCCCAAGUCCUUCAAAGCAGCUGAUCGUUCAACUGAUGUCAAUUAGACCCGAGCGCUGGGCCCGAGUGGAAUCAUCAGACACAGUGGGUUAGCUGGAUACUCUCUCAUCUCCAACGCAUAAGGCUGCUGGAUUGUGUUUUACUGCAGAGGCUCGAACACAAAAAGGCAUGCUGCACUAUCAACAGUGAUGUCAUUACAUGGUUUCCACUUCUCCAUUAGCUGGAUGCAAAACCAAUUAUGGGAAGAGGAGUUUUUGCUGAUUUCUUGUUCAAUAUCCCCUUGUCACAAUAUUAAAAAAAGAUGAUGUGCUCAUUGCUGAUGCAGAAACGUGUAUACUUGUGGUUACCUCAAGAUACCGCAUAAAGCUCAUGGUCUACCAGGCACCGUUGAUCCCUGCCCUCCAAUAUGCUUCUGAGACCAGAACUGUCUACAUCUGGCAGCUUAAAGCACUGGAAUAUACAUGGUGUCUGCAAAAUCUUUCAAGUACACGAGUAGGAAAGGAGAACCAACAUCUCCCAGAUCAACAUUCCCCUGCAGUAAAGCCUUUGUUGCUCUCUGUCAGCUAACCAGGCUACCCGUCCUCCCUAAAACCAGACUGAUGAAGAACAUUCUUGCAGGAGAUCACCAGAUGAACGGUGAAAAGGAUUCAAGAUUGUGCUGAAUGCGGCCAUGAAGAGUACAAUGAACCCUCUUGACUCCCUUGAAUCCCCAGCUCUUGGACAGUUAAAGUGAAGAGGGAGCAUUUGGGGUGGUAUUGAGAACCUUGAGGCUGCAUAUUGGAAACACGCAGAAGCCUUCAGCAGAUGGUGCUCGAAAUAGAGCAUCUCAGAAAACUGUCCAUCUGCUUAACCUAUCAGCUAACAACCACCUCAAGGCUCUGCAAUUUCCAUAUUGGCUUCAUUAGCCUCAGGGACAGAGAAGAAGAAGAAGAAGGUGACAAAGUACUUCACUGUCUCGAAGGAUAUGGUCAAACCAAUAUUCAGCAUCCUGGGGUGAAGUCUGAAAUUGGAUGCCCCAUGUCUGCAGGUCUGAGAGCCUGGGGACAAGGAGUGGAAGUCAGGAGGCAGCCUGUCCUGAGGUGGAAAGGGGCUUGUUCUGCUAUUAUUGUCUUGUCUUGUUUUGUUGUUGUUGUUGUUGUUUGUUGUGGACAUGCUAUAUUGGUGCUGGUAUGUGCAAUGACACUUACAGGCUGCCCCGAGCACAUCCUCAGAGGUGCUGGUUGUUAACGCAAGCGAUGCAUUUCAUUGUAUGCUUUGUUGUGCGCGUGAUAAAUAAUCCGAAUCUCCUGAAGUUAUGCAAGUUGCUACAGAAAUGAAAAUUCUUUCCUUUCACUGAGCUUCUCAUUCCCCAGUGGCCUGACAAGUUUAUAAAGCUUUAUUACAGAACGUUAGUACUCAUGCAUAUUUGUGAUGUCUUCCUUUAGCCAUUAUGGUGGUAAAUAUAUUCAUUGUAAUCUUACAGAUAAAAGGCUUCAACAGGAAUUAUGCCUGGAAAGGGGAACAGACUUAUCAUUACAAUAGAUAUUACACUAUUUUUAAACAUUUUUACUCUAGUUUCCUUAACAGUAAUUAUUUGUCUCUUGAUUAAAGAAACACCGGGUGGAAAACAGUAAAUGAGUACCGAGUAUGAUUGCCUUCCUGAAACAGGAAAAGGCUAUUUUAGCAACUCAACUUGCUGAUCCAUACCUGAUCUCUAUUUUUCCCUUUCUUUCCAGUCCCAAUGAAGGGUCUUGGCUCAAACGUACUGCUGCUGCAAAUUAACAAAUUUCAUGACAAAUGCCAGUGAUAUAACCUGAUUCUGAUUCUGUCUGUUCCUCUCCAUCGAUGAUGCCUGACCUACAGAGUUCCCCCAGCAUUUUGUGUGUUUUGCUCUGGAUUUCCAGCAUCUGUGAUUAACCCCCUUGAUUUAAUUUGUGUGGGCACGUGGCCAAGUGGUUAAGGCAUUCGACUAGCGACCUGAAGGUCGUGAGUUCGAGCCCCAGCUGAGGCAACGUGUUGUGUCCUUGAGCAAGGCACUUAACCACACAGUGCUCUGCAACGACACCGGUGCCAAGCUGUAUUGGCCCUUGCCCUUCCCUUGGACAACAUCAGUGUCGUGAAGAGGGGAGACUUGCAGCAUGGGCAACAGCCGUCUUCCAUACAACCUUGCCCAGGCCUGUGGCCUGGAGAGUGAAGACUUUCCAGGUGCAGAUCCAAGGUCUCACAAGACUAAUGGAUGCCUUAAUUUAAUUUAAUUUGUACCUCUACACUUACCUAAUGAAGUUCUAGCAACCACACUUCUGAAACUG